rnacentral:lncRNA from 1 species
GUUCAUCCUUUUCUCACCUUCAUUUAGCCUAAAUUAGAAAGAAAAACAAAGAAAAAAUUUUCUCAUCCUUUGGUUCAUCCUUGGCCAAAAAUUUUAAGGAGGAAAGAAGAAGAAAGGUGAAGAGAUUCGGCCAUGCAUGUAGCUAGGCUAAGGUAUGUUUGAUGAUGUUCCAUGAGAUGCAUGCAUGUUUUAGUUGUUAGCUUGAGUUCUACCUAGCCCAUGGUCUAAAUCUUGCUAUGUGAUGGAAAUGGCACUUGACCAUGGAUGCAUCAUUCUUGGUUGAUGUUUGAUGUUGUGGUGAUGAGGCAUGAGGAUGAGUUAAGAUUCGGCCUAGGUGGAGGUCGUGUUAAUGCCAUUGCAUGCAAAAUAUGAAGCUUGUUAAUGAUGCAUGUGAUGAUGGCUUGAUGAUUUUUGAACCUCCUUUUUAGCAUUUUUGUGUGAGCACAUAUGUGCAUUGAUUGCUAAAUGGAGAAGAAUCGGCUAGCAAGAUGUGUGCUAAGGCCGAAUGUAACUUUGCAUGUUAAUGAGCAAUGCAUGUGUUAAAUUGAUGAAAAGGGGGAGGAUGCUUUACUAGUGUGUAUAUGUGUGUAUUAAGUGUUGAAAUCGACCCCAAAAAUAGACAUGCAUAUUCGGCCAAGGGGAAAGAAAUUAGCUAAUAUGUUGUGUUGAUGCAUGAUUUUUGCAUGUAUGAGACUUUAAUGUCUAAUGUAUAAAUAUGGGCUAAGUGCCUUGUGUUCAUCUUUUUGAUGCCUAAAUGAUGAAAUCAAUUUAUUUGUUUAAUUAACCUCAAGAGCAAAGGGGAAAUAAAUCCGAUAAAGGGAAGGAAAAAGUGGUCGAAUAGUUAGCGGAAUCGUUCGACAACACCCGAGGUAAGUUCUUGAGUAAGAGAGCUUAAAUUACGAUGUGAUUAAAUCAUGCUCUAUGUGUGGCUAUUGAGCCGAAUGUGCAAGGACGAUAUGUGCCUUGUGUUUGAGUUUCGCAAAUGAAAAUGAAAUAUGAAUGUGCCAUGAAUUAUUGUUAGAUGUGCAUGAUUAAUUGAAUGCUGUCCGGGCUAAGUCCCGAAGGCUUUGUGCUAAGUGAAUAUAUCCGGACUAAGAUCCGAAGGCAUUUGUGCGAGAUACAAAUUCCGGGUUAAGCCCCGAAGGCCUUUGUGCGAGAUACAAAUUCCGGGUUAAGCCCCGAAGGCCUUUGUGCGAGAUACUAAAUCCGGGUUAAGUCCCGAAGGCAUUCGUGCGAGUCAUUAAAUCCGGGUUAAGUCCCGAAGGCAUUGUGUGAGUUACUAAAACCGGGCUAUGUCCCGAAGGCAUUUGAACGAGGAGCUAUAUCCGGUUAAAUCCCGAAGGUACGUGAUUUGGUAAUGAAUGAGCUUGCUGUAAAAUUCCAGCGAAUACUCGAAAAACAUCCCAAUAUGGGGAUAUGUUACGUAUGUGUUGAAUUUAAUCGAGCCCUUACAAAUAAAUGUUCGCUCAGUUGAUAAACGAGCUACCGGCCUUCGGCUAAGUUAGUCUAUUGUGUAUGUACAUAAUGGUUGUUAAUGUUGUGAAGCAAGUUUGAUAUCGGUAAAUUGCGUAUUAUGAAAUAUUCCGUUUAGCUAAAUGUGUGUUAUUCUUUGUUUAUGCUGGAAUUCCUUGCUCAAAACUUACUAAGCAUAAAUUGCUUACUCGUUACACUGCUCCUCUGUUUUAUAGAUUUUUGGUUCUCCAGCUAUCGGACUCGGGAUCUUGAAGUCGAAGUCGCCCACACUAUCAAAGGCUCUUUUGGGUACUAUUUUGGUUGAAUUUUGAUAUGGCAUGUAUAGGACUACCCAUUGUUGUUUUUCGAGUACUUUAUGAAAUGUCUAAGUGUACAGCCAUGCGAAAAUGGCUUGUAGAAGUGGAGUAUGGCAUUAGACCAUUCGUGCUUAUGAAUGUAUAGAUGGUUUCAUGAUGUAACUAUAGUUGGAAUGGAAGUGUUGAGCAAAUGAUCAGCCAUUGGAAUGGCUAAGUAUGAUCAUAUGUGGGCAUAUGUAUGACAAGGCCCUAGUUGGUCCAUGAAACCCCGAAAAUAGGUAAGGUUUACUCUGAAAACAGAGGCUGACAGCAGCAGUGGUGUGGAUUGGAAAAAUCACAAGAAUUCGUAGGAGUGGAAUUAAAUAGUGAAUAAAUUAUGUAAUCGAACCUUGAUGAAUCUACUUUCAUAUGAAAGUAACGAAAUAAUCAUAUGAAGAGUAAAGUAAGAGAUAUUCAGGUUCUUGUGGGACAGGGCCAGAACAGUUUCUGGAUUCCCUGUUCCGAAUUUGGAAAUUCACUAUAAAUUGACCAGAGAUAAUUAGGAGUCAUACCAUAUAUGUAUGGAUUCCUCUCUGAGUCUAGUUUCCAUAGAAACAAACGGCAUCAGUAUUGAAGCUCUGUGCAGAGAGAUAUCCAAGUCGUAAUGGGAAAAGGUCAGUGUAGUCGACCCCUGUAACAUGGGAGACUUUGACUAAUAAACUGUACUAAUUGGCCCAACCAAAAAUUCUAGAAAAAAAUAUGUAGAUGAGCAUAUGAGUCUAGUUUCAGGGAAAAAUCACGAAACUUAUUUUCGAGUUGUGAAGCUCAAGAUAUGAUUUUUAAAGCGACUAGUACACAGAUUGGGCAGUGUCUGGAAUUUUUUUCAAAGUUUGUUAACACCUCGUGUUCGACUCCGGUGUCAGACUCGGGUUCGGGGUGUUACAUUAAAUUGGUAUCAGAGCUACGGUUUAGUCGAUUCUAGGACUACCGUAAUGUGUUGGGUCUAGCUAUACAUGCCAUUUUAUGUGAUUACUUGAUAGUGUGGUGAUUUCUGACAAUUGUAAAUGUGUUUAUUUAUAGUAAUGGAUCCCGAUCGUAACCGAGAGGUAGCUGAUGAUCUUGAGAGUGUAGCGCCUGCUCCCACACAAGGGACAGCGCCGGCGGACUCUCAACCUAAUGCUAGUAAUCCGAAUGAUGAAGCUAGACAAGCAUUCUAUAGCGUGAUGAAUGAUUGGUUCAACCAAUACAUUCGAACUAAUAUGGCUGUUCCACAACCUCCAUUCCCGACAAAUACUACCCCCGCACCUACAAUACCUCCGGUAACUGACCAAAUAAGGUCAAAUAAGCCCCCAGUUGAUAGAAUCCGAACACAUGGGGCUACUUAAUUUAAAGCUACGGAUAGCGACGAUGCCGAGCAAGCUGAAUUUUGGUUGGACAACACUAUCCGGGUACUCGAUGAGCUAUCUUGUACACCCGAUGAAUGCCUAAAGUGUACUAUCUCCUUGCUACGUGAUUCUGCCUACUAUUGGUGGAGUACUCUGACUUCUGUUGUGCCCCGAGAGCAAGUAACUUGGGAGUUUUUCCAAACUGAGUUUCGGAAAAAGUAUAUCAGUCAGAGAUUUGUUGAUCAAAAACGGAAGGAAUUUCUUGAGCUUAAGCAAGGUUCCAUGUCGGUUACUGAUUACGAGCGAAAAUUUGUUAGACUUAGCAAAUACGCUCGGGAAUGUGUUUCGUCCGAAGCUAUUAUGUGUAAACGCUUCGAGGAUGGGCUGAAUGAAGAUAUAAAAAUGUUCGUUGGCGUUCUUGAAAUACGAGAGUUCGUGGUACUUGUUGAACGAGCUUGUAAAGCCGAAGAGCUUAGAAAAGAAAAGCAAAGAGUUGAUGAGGGAACUGGAGAGUUUCGUAAAAGAUCCUCGGGAAGGUCUCUUCAACAGAAAUCGAAGAGAUUUCGAGAUGAUGCGGGCCAGUUUAGAGGCACUUCGGGCCUUCUUAGACGAGAUCGUGAUCGACCCCCUAUGGGUACACGAGGCACUUCGGUCGCCAGUGUUGGGAAUGAACGUCGAGAUAGAACGAAAUGUCGAUAUUGCGGUAAAUGGCAUUCGGGGAGUUGUAGAUUCCCUGACCGCUCCUGUUACAAGUGCGGAUCAGUUGACCACUUCAUUAAAGAUUGCCCAAGGUUGUUUGAACAGAAUGAAAAUCAGAGUGGGAAACCGGGUGCUACCACUGCUCGAGGUAGACCAUCUGGAAAUACGGGCAAUGCUAGUGGUGGUCAGAGAGGAUCUAGAGAUGAUAUAACCAGAUCCGAAGCUCGUGCGCCUGCUAGAGCUUAUGCUAUACGUGCCCGCGAGGAUGCUUCCUCGCCUGAAGUUAUUACCGGUACAUUCACUCUCUUUGAUACUAAUGUAAUUGCUUUGAUUGACCCCGGUUCUACUCAUUCUUACAUAUGUGAAACCUUAGCAUCCAGUAAGACUUUACCUAUUGAGUCUACUGAGUUCGUAAUUCGGGUGUCAAAUCCCUUGGGUCGUUACGUGUUUGUCGACAAAGUGUGUAAGAAAUGUCCCCUGGAAAUUCGAGGUUCCUGUUUUCCGGCGAACUUGAUGCUUUUGCCGUUUGAUGAAUUUGAUGUUAUCCUUGGUUUGGAUUGGUUGAUCGCGCAUGAUGCGGUUGUGAAUUGCAAGAGCAAGACUAUUGAUUUGAGGUGCGCAAAUAACGAAGUAAUCCAAAUUGAGUCUGCGGACUUGGAGGGGAUGCCAGCUGUAAUAUCAGCAAUGUUGGCACAGAAAUAUGUAAGAAAAGGGUGCGAAGCAUACCUUGCGUAUGUACUUGAUGACAAAGAAUUAGAAAAGAAACCCGAAUCUGUGCCGGUGGUUUGUGAAUACCCGGAUGUUUUUCCGGAAGAAUUACCGGGUUUACCACCUGUUCGGGAGGUAGAGUUUGGUAUUGAGCUUGUACCUGGGACUACGCCGAUUUCGAUAGCUCCGUACCGUAUGGUACCAACCGAGUUAAAGGAGUUGAAAGCUCAGUUGCAAGAACUGACGGAUAGAGGUUUCGCUCGACCAAGUUUUUCACCUUGGGAUGCACCAGUAUUGUUCGUGAAAAAGAAGGACGGAACUAUGAGGUUGUGCAUUGACUAUCGUCAGCUGAAUAAAGUGACGAUAAAGAACAAAUAUCCGUUGCCACGCAUCGAUGAUUUGUUCGACCAACUGAAGGGAGCCUCAGUGUUCUCAAAAAUAGAUUUGAGAUCGGGCUAUUAUCAGUUGCGAAUUCGAGAUUCAGAUAUUCCCAAAACUGCCUUCAGAACGAGAUAUGGUCACUACGAAUUCUUAGUGAUGCCGUUUGGGCUCACUAAUGCCCCUGCGGUAUUUAUGGAUUUGAUGAAUCGGAUCCUCAGACCGUAUUUGGAUCGGUUCGUAGUUGUGUUCAUUGAUGACAUUUUGGUCUAUUCAAGAGAUGAGACCGAACAUGCUGAGCAUCUGAGGCUAGUGCUGCAAAUUUUGCGGGAUAAGCAGUUAUACGCUAAGUUCAGUAAGUGUGAGUUCUGGUUAAGAGAGGUUAGCUUCUUGGGUCAUGUGGUAUCCGCGUCAGGUAUUCGUGUUGACCCGAACAAAAUUUCAGCCAUACUUGACUGGAAACCUCCGAGAAAUAUUACUGAAGUUCGGAGCUUUUUGGGGCUCGCCGGUUAUUACCGACGAUUUGUGAAAGGUUUCUCGAUGAUAGCCACACCAAUGACGAAGCUACUUCAAAAGGAUGUUAAGUUCGAGUGGACGGAGAAAUGUCAGAAAAGUUUCGACCAACUGAAAACUCAUUUGACUGAAGCUCCAAUUUUGGUGCAACCCGAAUCAGGUAAAGAGUUUGUCAUUUAUAGUGACGCAUCCCUACUUGGGUUGGGUUGCGUAUUGAUGCAAGAAGGUCGAGUCGUGGCCUAUGCGUCGAGACAAUUGAAGCCACACGAGAGGAAGUAUCCGACCCAUGAUCUCGAACUAGCUGCCAUCGUGUUUGCUUUAAAAAUAUGGCGACAUUAUCUGUUUGGUGAGAAGUGCCAUGUAUUUUCGGAUCACAAAAGUCUCAAAUAUUUGAUGACUCAACGGGACUUGAAUCUGCGACAAAGACGUUGGCUUGAGUUGUUGAAACAUUACGAGCUUGUCAUUGAUUACUACCCGGGAAAGGCUAACGUGGUUGCGGACGCCUUAAGCCGGAAGUCAUUGUUUGCUUUACGAGCGACGAAUGUGCAUUUUUCUGUUCUACCAGACAAUGUGUUAGUAGCUGAAUUAAGAGCUAAACCAUUAUUGACUCACCAAAUUCGUGAAGCUCAGAAAGUCGAUGAUGAAUUGGUUGCAAAACGGGCUAAGUGUGUUCCGAACGAGGAAUCAGAGUUUCAAAUUGAUGAUGGUGAUUGUUUGAGGUUCAGAAAUCGUUUGUGUGUUCCAAGAAAUUCGGAACUCAUUUCGAUGAUUCUGAACGAAGCCCAUUGUAGCCGAAUGUCAAUUCACCCGGGGAGUACGAAAAUGUACAACGAUUUGAAACGUCAAUUUUGGUGGCAUGGUAUGAAACGGGACAUCUCCGACUUUGUUUCGAGAUGUUUAAUAUGUCAACAAGUGAAAGCGGAACAUCAAGUGCCUUCAGGAUUACUCCAGCCGAUCAUGAUACCCGAGUGGAAAUGGGAUCGAGUCACAAUGGACUUUGUGUCCGGACUGCCCUUGUCAGCAAGUAAGAAGGAUGCGAUAUGGGUUGUUGUUGAUAGACUGACUAAGUCGGCUCAUUUCAUCCCCGUACGUACGGAUUUUUCAUUGGAUAAACUAGCUGAAUUGUAUGUUUAUCAAAUUGUGAGAUUACACGGGGUACCUAUUUCUAUCGUGUCGGAUAGAGAUCCGAGAUUCACCUCACGAUUUUGGAAGAAAUUGCAAGAAGCUCUGGGUACCAAGCUGCAUUUUAGCACUGCUUUUCACCCCCAAACUGAUGGUCAAUCCGAGCGGAUAAUUCAGAUACUUGAGGAUAUGUUGAGAUGUUGCAUCCUCGAGUUCAGUAGUUCAUGGGAACGGUAUUUACCUUUGAUUGAAUUCGCUUACAAUAAUAGUUUUCAAUCAAGUAUUAAGAUGGCACCUUACGAGGCUUUGUACGGUCGUAAAUGCCGUACACCAUUGUUUUGGACCGAGCUCGGUGAAAGUAAAAUUUUCGGAGUUGAUUUGAUUAAAGAUGCUGAACAGAAAGUAAAGGUAAUCCGUGAAAGUCUGAAGGUAGCCACGGAUCGUCAGAAGUCGUAAGCAGAUUUGAAACGAAAAGACAUCGAGUAUCAGGUGGGAGACAAAGUGUUCCUUAAGGUUUCACCUUGGAAAAAGAUACUCAGGUUCGGCCGUAAGGGCAAGUUGAGCCCAAGAUUCAUUGGACCGUACGAAAUCUCCGAACGAGUUGGUCCGGUUGCGUAUAGAUUGAUUUUGCCCCCGGAGCUUGAAAAGAUUCAUGACGUCUUUCACGUUUCGAUGCUUCGACGCUAUCGAUCUGAUCCAUCGCACAUAAUUAGCCCAUCAGAGGUUGAAAUUCAAGUCGAUAUGAGUUAUGAAGAAGAGCCGAUGCAUAUCCUAGCUCGUGAAGUGAAGGAGUUGCGAAACAAAAGGGUUCCGUUAGUGAAGGUGUUAUGGCUCAAACACGGGAUUGAGGAAGCUACUUGGGAAACUGAGAGCUCGACGAAAGAACGAUACCCAAACCUAUUUACCGGUAAGAUUUUCGGGGACGAAAAUUUCUUAAGUGGGGGAGAGUUGUGACAGCCCAAAAUUGACCCUAGUCGGGAAGUGGUUUCGGGACCACAAAACCGAGUCAUAAAAAUAAUUGAUUUCCAUAUUCUAUGCUUAUUAUGUGUGUACAUGAGUAUGUGGAAGUUUCAUUCUCCAAUUUUGCCAAUUGCAUGAGAAAUUAUUAAAUAGGGAUUGAUAUGAGACAUGGUGAAAAUAUGAUAGGCUAAUUUAAAAUGGUCUAUUAAUGCAUGUUGUGAAAAUGAUGGGUUUGCAUGUCAAAUUACCCAAAAUUUGAGCUAGUGGUUGGCCAUGCUAUGGGUGGAAACAUGUUGGGAACAUGUUGGCCUAGUGAGGUAUGUAGGAAAAAAAUAAAAUAAUAGGCAUGGAAAUUAAAUAAUGAAAAGGAGCAUGAUGAAUACACAAAAAAAAAGUGUGUAGUUGAUUCUUUUCCCCCCCCCCAUUGCCGUGAGCUAAAGAAAAGAGAGGAGAGGAUCUUUGUUCAUCCUUUUCUCACCUUCAUUUAGCCUAAAUUAGAAAGAAAAACAAAGAAAAAAAUUUCUCAUCCUUUGGUUCAUCCUUGGCCAAAAAUUUUAAGGAGGAAAGAAGAAGAAAGGUGAAGAGAUUCGACCAUGCAUGUAGCUAGGCUAAGGUAUGUUUGAUGAUGUUCCAUGAGAUGCAUGCAUGUUUUAGUUGUUAGCUUGAGUUCUACCUAGCCCAUGGUCUAAAUCUUGCUAUGUGAUGGAAAUGGCACUUGACCAUGGAUGCAUCAUUCUUGGUUGAUGUUUGAUGUUGUGGUGAUGAGGCAUGAGGAUGAGUUAAGAUUCGGC